GUGGCCAGAACCAGAAAUGUAACCUGGAA
rnacentral:piRNA from 1 species